rnacentral:rRNA from 1 species
UACGAAGGGGACUAGCGUUGUUCGGAAUCACUGGGCGUAAAGCGCACGUAGGCGGAUGUGUCAGUCAGGGGUGAAAUCCCGGGGCUCAACCUCGGAACUGCCUUUGAUACAGCACGUCUCGAGUCCGGAAGAGGUGGGUGGAAUUCCAGUGUAGAGGUGAAAUUCGUAGAUAUUAGGAAGAACACCGGUGGCGAAGGCGGCCCACUGGUCCGGUACUGACGCUGAGGUGCGAAAGCGUGGGGAGCAAACAGG